UGAGGAAUAUUGCACAAUGGGCGCAAGCCUGAUGCAGCGACGCCGCGUGGGGGAUGACGGCCUUCGGGUUGUAAACCCUUGUCAGUGGGGAAGAAAAAAAUGACUGUACCCACAGAGGAAGCCCCGGCUAACUACGUGCCAGCAGCCGCGGUAAGACGUAGGGGGCGAGCGUUGUUCGGAAUUACUGGGCGUAAAGAGCUCGUAGGCUGGAAAUUAAGUCUUUGAACAAAUCUCCCGGCUCAACCGGGAACCGUUUAGGGAUACUGAUUUUCUUGAGAACAGGAGAGGGGAAUGGAAUUCCUAGUGUAGCGGUGAAAUGCGUAGAUAUUAGGAGGAACACCAGUGGCGAAGGCGGUUCUCUGGCCUGUUUCUGACGCUGAGGAGCGAAAGCUGGGGGAGCGAACGG
rnacentral:rRNA from 1 species